GACAGAGGGUGCAAGCGUUGUUCGGAAUUACUGGGCGUAAAGCGAGUGUAGGCGGUCUCAUAAGUCGGGUGUGAAAGCCCUGGGCUCAACCCAGGAAGUGCACUCGAUACUGCGAGGCUAGAGUAUCGGAGAGGUUGGUGGAAUUCUCGGUGUAGAGGUGAAAUUCGUAGAUAUCGAGAGGAACACCGGUGGCGAAGGCGGCCAAGUGGACGAAUACUGACGCUGAGACUCGAAAGCGUGGGGAGGAAACAGG
rnacentral:rRNA from 1 species